rnacentral:rRNA from 1 species
UACGUAGGCAGCAAGCGUUGUUCGGAGUUACUGGGCGUAAAGGGUGUGUAGGCGGUUCUCUAAGUCUGGUGUGAAAUCUCCCGGCUCAACUGGGAGGGUGCGCCGGAAACUGGAGAGCUAGAGUACUGGAUGGGAGAGUGGAAUUCCUGGUGUAGCGGUGAAAUGCGUAGAUAUCAGGAGGAACACCAGUGGCGAAGGCGGCUCACUGGCCCGGUACUGACGCUGAGGUGCGAAAGCGUGGGGAGCAAACAGG